GACCGCUCCGGUGGCUUAGUGGUUAGAGUGUCCACCUUGGAUGUGGGAGGUCAUCUGUUCGAACUCCAGCUGAGUCA